rnacentral:sRNA from 1 species
UGCUGAAUCAUAAGGUAUGCCCACACCAAAUUCUAGUAAAUCGCUCUUCAAAAUGAUGUACCAGUCUACUCUGUCAUUGCCGGUGUAGAGAAGCUGCCUGUAACCUAGUCAGGCAUGAUAUUACCUAGCUUUAUAACUUUAUAAUUUUUGCCAAUCUUAUGGUCAUAAAAUCAUUUUAUAAGCUUCUCUCUGCUUGGUGACCACUCUGCUGUUGAUCCACCAACCUCCAGCUGGUACUGAGCAUCUGCCAUUUUUCUGCUUUGAAGAGGCAGUAUGAGCAAGAGGACUCCAUAUAGUUC